AUGUCAGGGCUUUUUCCUCUCUGCUUGCUGCGAUGCCGUAAGCCAAAUCGGCUCUGUGCCUACACCUGGUGUGCGUGUCCCAGCGGGAUCCCUGCCAGAGCUGCCGGCGAGGCAGGGCGCUGCUGUCGGAGGUGCUGGGGGAGCGCAUCAACCUGAUUGCUCCUGUGCCAAACGACAGGGUCAGGAGGAGGCAGCAGCACAUUCUGGCGAUGCUUUAGGCUCUUAGCCCCCAUCUGGCAGCUCUCCUGUGCUCUGAUGCCUCUGCCGUGGUGGUCUGAGCUUCGAGGGUGGAAGUCUUGUGAAACGGGGUAUGAACAGCAGUGUGGCUCCUGUGCUUAAAUUGCAC